AUUGAACGCUGGCGGCAGGCCUAACACAUGCAAGUCGAACGAGUGGCGGACGGGUGAGUCAUGUCAGGGAAACUGCCUGAUGGGGGGGGAUAAAUACGGGAAACGGUAGCUAAAACCGCAUACCAUCGGAUGUGCCCCGAUGGGAUUAGCUAGUAGGGGGGGUAACGUCUCACCUCGGCGACUAUCCCUAGCUGGUCUGUGAGGAUGACCAGCCCUACUGGAACUGAGACCCGGUCCAGACUCCUACGGGAGGCAGCAGUGGGGCAUAUUGCACCAUGGGCUCAAGCCGUAUGCAGCCAUGCCGCGUUUAUGAAGAAGGCCUUCGGGUUGUAAAGUACUUUCAGCGGUGAGGCGUUACCCGCAGAAGAAGCACCGGCUAACUCCGUGCCAGCAGCCGCGGUAAUUC
rnacentral:rRNA from 1 species